CCAUUGUGGAGCAGGGAAAUGUGCCAACAGUCUCAAAUACCCAUUUUCAACUCUAAAAAAGUUCAGCUUCCAAAAAAAGUAUGGGAGAGAGAAAACUACUCGUUUCUUCUGAUACCGGAAGCAAAAUAACCCUAAUACGGGACGGCCUGUGGCCCGGUGAACAUUUUUUUAAAUUGUAGUUUUACUGUUUCCUCCAACAGGGAAAGGGAAGGGAGACGGCUUAUCCAAGUCAACCACUUCCCGGCUUCAUUCGGGAUGUUUAUGUCCGUUAUUCACGCGUGGGACUUCCAUGAAAACACGGGCGGCGCUUGUCGGAGCUGUGAGGACUUGCUCUGGUCGCCUGUCAGUGCGCCAUCCCUUCCGUCCGCUCUGUUCACCGAAUACCCAGUGAGGCAAAUCCGUGCACGAUGCUAGCGUAUCGUCAGCUCCCAAGUAACAGAGCAGAGGUCUCUCUUUGCAAGGGGCCGACAGUAAGUAGACUCUACUUACGCGCUCACAAAUCAGCUGUUGCUUCUGUGUGCCUCAAAGGAACUCUGUGUUAUCCUCAUCCUCUGGUCCUCCUAAUAAAAAACAAUACAAAAAUGGAAUUCCCUUUGGUUCUUCUUCAUUUGAUCUUGCCCAUAUUUACUCGAGAUAAAAAGGAGACCACAACUAGUACCAGAUCUGGCACCAUAGAUGUUGCAAGUUUUGGAGAGAGGUGAUACUUGAUCAUAUCACUAUGCCAGGCGACUUCACGAGAACGCGCAUAUGUAUACGCUAAUCCCGGUACAUAUGACUGAAGUGAAUGAAAUAGUUGGAGUUAACAGCUGUUAAAGUGUAAUAAACCCAGAAAAAAGUGCUGUGGCGGCCCAAAGCGCGCGGAGGCGCAGCAGUGGAUCGCGGCCGGAGAAGCGGAGGGCUGGUGAAUUAUUAAUAAACGGAGUGGUUCACAGUCUGUCGUGCUCAGUGAGUAACCAGGACGGCAGCUGGGGGUUAGAUGAAUUAAAUACGGACUCAGAGUAAACCGUGGACGGCAGGGGAUUACUACUCAC
ensembl:lncRNA